UAUCCGGAUUUAUUAGGUUUAAAGGGUGCGUAGGCGGCAAUAUAAGUCGGAGGUGAAAUCUUACAGCUUAACUAUAAGUUUGCCUUCGAUACUGUAGUGCUAGAGUACGAACGAGGUAGGCGGAAUGUGCAGUGUAGCGGUGAAAUGCAUAGAUAUUGCACAGAACAUCGAUUGCGAAGGCAGCUUACUAGGCCGUAACUGACGCUGAUGCACGAAAGCGUGGGGAUCAAACAGGAUUAGAUACCCUGGUAGUCCACGCUGUAAACGAUGAUCACUUGCUGUUGGCGAUAGACAGUCAGUGGCAAAGGGAAACCGAUAAGUGAUCCACCUGGGGAGUACGUUCGCAAGAAUGAAACUCAAAGGAAUUGACGGGGGCCCGCACAAGCGGAGGAACAUGUGGUUUAAUUCGAUGAUACGCGAGGAACCUUACCCGGGUUUGAAAGUAUGUUGCAUAGUUUGGAAACAGGCUUUUCCUUAUAGGACCACAUACUAGGUGCUGCAUGGUUGUCGUCAGCUCGUGCCGUGAGGUGUCGGCUUAAGUGCCAUAACGAGCGCAACCCUCAUUGCCAGUUACCAUCACGUUACGGUGGGGACUCUGGCGAAACUGCCGGCGUAAGCUGUGAGGAAGGUGGGGAUGACGUCAAAUCAGCACAGCCCUUAUGUCCGGGGCUACACACGUGUUACAAUGGUCGGUACAAAGAGCAGCCACUUGGUGACAAGGCGCUAAUCUCUAAAGCCGAUCUCAGUUCGGAUCGAAGUCUGCAACUCGACUUCGUGAAGGUGGAUUCGCUAGUAAUCGCGCAUCAGCUACGGCGCGGUGAAUACGUUCCCGGGCCUUGUACACACCGCCCGUCAAGCCAUGGAAGUUUGGGGUGCCUGAAGUCUGUAACCGCGAGGAGCGGCCUAGGGCAAAACAGAUGACUGGGGCUAAGUCGUAACAAGGUAACCGUA
rnacentral:rRNA from 1 species